UAAUUUCGAUGCAAAUGUGCUAGUGUAUGUGCUCACCUUGCCUCAAGCAGCAAGCCGGAGGCCGGAACCGAAACCGUGGACAUCGCCGGCUGCCGGAGCGCCGGGCUCGCCAGUCGUCACUGCCCACCGGUCGCCGAAGCCACGACGCUAGGGUCGCGAGUUGGUGCGAUGCGGAGCGGUGCGAUGCGAUGUGAGUUGGGAGACUA
rnacentral:lncRNA from 1 species